GAUCCUGGCUCAGGAUGAACGCUAGCUACAGGCUUAACACAUGCAAGUCGAGGGCAGUCGAGAGGAAAGCUUGCUUCCUGUCGGCGACCGGCGCACGGGUGAGUAACGCGUAUCCAACCUUCCCCUUAGUAGGGCAUAGCCCGGUGAAAGUCGGAUUAAUACCCCUAUGUUUUUCCGAUGAGGACAUCUGAGCUGGAAUAAAGAUUUAUCGCUAAGGGAUGGGGAUGCGUCUGAUUAGGUAGUCGGCGGGGUAACGGCCCACCGAGCCUACGAUCAGUAGGGGUUCUGAGAGGAAGGUCCCCCACAUUGGUACUGAGACACGGACCAAACUCCUACGGGAGGCAGCAGUGAGGAAUAUUGGUCAAUGGGCGAGAGCCUGAACCAGCCAAAGUAGCGUGCAGGAUGACGGCCCUAUGGGUUGUAAACUGCUUUUAUCGGGGGAUAAAGUGAGGGACGCGUCCCUUUUUGUAGGUACCCGAUGAAUAAGGACCGGCUAAUUCCGUGCCAGCCGCGGC
rnacentral:rRNA from 1 species